AACGCGAAGAACCUUACCCAGGUUUGACAUGUACUUGAUAGCGACAGAAAUGUCGUCUUCCGAAAGGACAGGUACACAGGUGCUACAUGGCUGUCGUCAGCUCGUGCCGUGAGGUGUUGGGUUAAGUCCCGCAACGAGCGCAACCCUUAUCACUAGUUGCCAGCACUUAGGGUGGGAACUCUAGUGAGACUGCCUGGGUUAACCAGGAGGAAGGUGAGGAUGACGUCAAGUCAGCAUGGCCCUUAUGUCUGGGGCAACACACGUGCUACAAUGGCCGGUACAGAAGGCAGCAAGACCGCAAGGUGGAGCAAAUCCCAAAAGCCGGCCCCAGUUCGGAUUGUAGUCUGCAACUCGACUACAUGAAGUUGGAAUUGCUAGUAAUGGCGCGUCAGCUACAGCGCCGUGAAUACGUUCCCGGGCCUUGUACACACCGAGUAUA
rnacentral:rRNA from 1 species